GACGAACGCUGGCGGCGUGCUUAACACAUGCAAGUCGAACGAUGAAGCCCUGCUUGCUGGGUGGAUUAGUGGCGAACGGGUGAGUAACACGUGAGUAACCUGCCCUCCACUCUGGGAUAACUCCGGGAAACCGGUGCUAAUACUGGCUAUGACUGCUGCCUGCAUGGGUGGUUGUGGAAAGAUUUAUCGGUGGUGGAUGGACUCGCGGCCUAUCAGCUUGUUGGUGGGGUAAUGGCCUACCACGGCGACGACGGGUAGCCGGCCUGAGAGGGUGACCGGCCACACGGGGACUGGGACACGGCCCAGACUCCUACGGGAGGCAGCGGUGGGGAAUAUUGCACUAUGGACGGACGCCUGAUGCAGCAACACCGCGUGCGGGAUGUCAGCCUUCGUGUUGUAAACCGAUUUCAGCACUGACGAAGCAUUUAUGACGGUAGGGGCAGAGGAAGCACCGGCUAACUACGUG
rnacentral:rRNA from 1 species